UGGCGUACGGGUGCGUAACGCGUAUACAACCUGCCUGUUACACGGGGAUAGCCUUGCGAAAGCGAGAUUAAUACCCGAUAGUACUAUCUGGUGGCAUCACUUGGUAGUUAAAGCUGAGGCGGUAACAGAGGGGUAUGCGUCCCAUUAGCUAGUUGGUAGUGUAACGGACAACCAAGGCUACGAUGGGUAGGGGUUCUGAGAGGAUGAUCCCCCACACUGGUACUGAGAUACGGACCAG
rnacentral:rRNA from 1 species